UCAAGCAAAACAAGAAUAUAAUGAACAUUUUCUCAAACCCUGCCCGUUUUGGUAUGUGAUUUGACUAAAUCUUAGUUGUUUGUGUAAUUGAUUUUUUCUUUCUUUCAAGGGAACGUAUUUAUGAGUACCAAGAAAGGACAAUAGGGUUUGAGCGCGCGGGGGUCAAAAUUAAUUCGGCUUUUUAAUUUAAGAUGAACAACAUCAGUUUUUUUUAACAAAAUCGAUGUUAACCUCAAGUGGUUAACUGAUCGGUUUUGUUAAAAAAACCGAUGUUGUUCAUCAUAAAUUAAAAAGCCGAAUUAAUUUUGGCCCCCACGCGCUCAAAUCCUAUUGUCCUUUCUCCCGUGUCGUUGCUCCUUUCUCCUUCCUCUCAACUGCGCUGCCACGAUUGAAGCUAGCAUUGUCGCAAAACGAGUUCGUCUCUGCCGCAAACGACUUUGAUACAUUCCAUUUGUGGUUUUUCCCAAUUCCAAAGUAGUACGAGGUUGUCAUCAGCCCUUUUAUAGGUAAUGUUUACUGUUCACCCUUUUCAGUUGACACUGCUUAUAAUUAUUGGUUUGCUUAUGUUUACACAUAGGAUUGUUAAUCAUUAAUUUGAGUUUCAUCUAUUAUACUUCUGUAUGCCUUGUUAAAUUUUAUAAUUUUAGUUGUCUUUUUUAAUGAAAUUUCUUUGAAUCUGAGAGUGCGAUUUUUAUGUGUUGUGGUCUGAAUUGGGUGGUCUCAAUGAACGAUUAUUGGUUGCAAAGGAGGCAUCUUGUGUGUCAGUUCUAGUGUUUCUGUGACACGAAGGAUGACACUCCUUUCUCAUACUGGUUGCUCUGAAUAAUUUUGCAGGGUAGUAUUAUUGUUUGUUCCUGUUCAAUUUCAGCUAGUGCCUUUGAGGAAAGAAACAAAUUGCAAAACAAAUUGCUACCAAAGACAAUAUCUAACGACACCAAGAUUUGGGAUAUUCUGCUUCUAGAAGGACCAUGGCUACUUCACCUGCCUCGCCUCCUCCUCCUUCAGACACAUCAGCAUCUCCGUCUACCGUGAAGUGGACACGCAAAGCGACACGGCUAAGAUCGUUGGCCACUAGACCACCUGGUGUAGAGAGAUCAUUGGUCAACGUUGAUCCUGCUACUGGCAAGGCUGAUGGUCCCCACAAGAAGAAAUUAAGAACAUAUUUGGGGAUUCUCGUGCGUGAUAAGGUCGACGUGACAUACGAGACCUGGAAGGAAGUCCUUGCUGCUCAGAAGGAAUUGAUAUCGGAGGAUAUUUAGGCGGAAUUUGAAAUCCCUGAAGCUUCUAAUAGUAGGACAAAGAAGAAAAUUCUUUAGAAUGUCGGCGAGAGGUGGCGGCAAUUUAAAUCAGACUUGACUAGGAAAUGGGCCCCUGCAGCCGACCAGGACGGUGUAGACGACACUGUCUGUCAAAAAUACGACAUUUGCAAGGAGAAAUGGGUCCAGUUUUGUCAGACACGCAGAGAUCCUUCUUGGGAGGAUAUGCGGAAAAAGGCACAGACCAUCCAGAAGUAAAACACUUCCCCUCACGUGUUGUCUCAUGGGGGUUAUGAAUAUUUAGAACAAAAGCUAAUGGCUGAGAAGACCAAAAAGAAACUGGAGGAAGCUACCCAGUCUAGAACCACUAAUAGCGUCAUUGACCUUACAUCUCCCAUCAGACGCCACGUGAAGUGGAAGAUGACCCGCACCAAGAAAAUUGAGCAGAUGACAUUUGAGGCAGCAAAGGAAAUCGCUGAGAAGAUUGUAAGUCAUUUUCAAUUAAGAAUUCUAACUAUGUUUGUUUAUUCUGUGAAUGCCUAAGACAAAUAUAUUUGUUCUGUACAAGAUUCAUUGGAGGAGCAGGCAUCACAGGGAUCGUGCGUCCCUCAUGGAUGUCAGGAUGUCCUAACUACCAUCAUUGGCCAACCAGACCACCCUGGCUAUGUUCGUGCUGCUGGAUCCGGUGUCACCAUCAAGCAAUAUUUCAGAUCAGCUCCAUAAACGUCCCGCAACUUUUGCUCCCUGCCUCCUGAAGACCUAUAGUAGCUGACCUAACAAAUCAGGGACCAGCUAGAGGAGUCGAUCACAGAAAAAGUGACUCAAUAGCUGAUGGCAUCUUUCAGCCAGAUGCAGUCCCAGUUUCAAUCCCAUAUGCAAUCUUAGGGACUUGCACUGCCUCUAGAGCCUAUGGUUGUUCCCUCAGGUCCUCGUGUCAGCAUAAAGGAGAGUUGUGUUGAUCCAUCAGGGAACGAUCCUGAGACGGAUGACUCAGACAAGUGCAGGUUGUACAUCGAAGCAAAUCCUCCCUGCUUGGUUGCCCUAGGAAGAGUUUAUGAGGGAUCAACAAUUCACAACAUUCCUUUGUUACCUGGCCAUGUGAAGGUUGGUGUUGAGGAGGUUAAAGAUGCACAGGCUCCCGUUCAUGUACCCACUGAUGAGGUUACCUUAGUGGGGGUAGACACUUAACACCUUCCUUGCUUGACUGACACAUCUCGUGAAGCAUUUAUCAGAACAACAGGCAGCUGUUUCUCCAGCAAAACCUCCACAAAGGCCAGAUCCUAAUUAAGGUUGAUGAUCCGUUAUAUCUGAUGACAUUGACCAUCCAGAGCUUUUCUUCAAGCUUUUCCAUGUUAAUUGGGAUGCUACCGUGUUCGGGGUGUUUAAUCCAGACUUCCCAUUGUACAUCAAGCACGAAGAUAUCUUCGAAAUCGCACACGGUGGUCAAUGUCUCAGCAUAUCUGUCAUACAAUUAUGGAUUCUGCAUCUGACUAAAACAAGUAUGCGAGUGGGGAAUUCCGAUGCGUAUGGAUUCCUCGAGCCAUAGUCUAUUCAGAGAUCUGGACAAUUGUAGUUUGACUCUGAAAGUUACAUCAAGAGUUGAAUGUAGAGUUUAAAACGCGAUGUCUACCUUGGAGCCUACUUAAAUGGCGGACACUGGCAAAUGGUGAUCAUUCUGUCCAAGGAAAACCUUGUUGUCUGGUUUUGUUCCUUGCAUAACAGACAAUUACCUUAAGGGAAUAAUUAACAGGUCAAUGCUGUUUUCAAUACAUUUGCAUUGACAUUA